CCUAUACCUGAACUCAGUCUUUAAUACAUGCUGUAUCUUUCUUGAAAUACAUCAAUGUAUUGCAGCUUACAGCAUCCUGAAAUUGCUUUUUUUGUCUGCUCUUCUGCAUGUGUAAUCCUCCUUAAAAACAUUUUUCUUACACUGUAGAUACAUUCCAAUGAACAUCACUGAGAUCUUGAUUUUAGAUAAGUACUGCUGGAAAGACGAGCGCAUAACCCUAUCUGCAAAACCAUUCAGCUAGCCUACCCUUCCUACUUGCGUUCUUCCUAUGUAACUGUCUUAAGUAUUUCUAGGGACCUAUCGCUUGGUAUCUAGAAGCAUCUAUUUGCCAACAGUAUUUUUCAAGACACUGGAUUAUACUAUAAAACAAUUCUGAAAGAUUUAUUCAGACCUGGCACAUGAAACAGACUCCCUCACCCUUUGCAGAGGCACCAAAGAGAGAAAGGAAAACCUUACGGUAUUUAAAAACAUUUUUGAGAUCUGCGUGGUGAUUCAUCAGUUAAUUUUAUCAGAACUGAUGGAAAAGUGAAGCACGUCUCCCAUAUCACAGGUUUGACUUGAAUGCUGUGAAGUAUAUGCAGAGAGACAACAUAUAAAAUUCUCAUAAAAAGCUAGAGUAUGGAUGACAAAGUACAGUAGAAAUUUCACUGACCACAGACGACAGAAGGGAGAGCUGUUUUCUUUGAGGAGAAAGGGGGUGCCUCGGAAGCCUGAUUUCAUCCAGCAACAUCACCAACAGAUGUACCUCAUAUACGUAUACAGUACUGAGCUAUCUUUCUUACAGCCUAAAAGGUAAUAACGAUUACUGCAAACAUUAGCAAGUAAAGCCUUGAAGCACUCCCUUAAGAUACUAUUACUACGUAUUUACACAGUGAGAGACUGUGAUAUAGUCUUAAGUGUAAGCUAUUUCUGCAAGUUCUCCAAGAGAGCUAAGAAUA
rnacentral:lncRNA from 1 species